GAUGAAGAACGUAGUGAAAUGCGAUAAGUAAUGUGAAUUGCAGAAUUCAGUGAAUCAUCGAAUCUUUGAACGCACCUUGCGCUCCUUGGUAUUCCGAGGAGCAUGCCUGUUUGAGUGUCAUUAAAUUCUCAACUAUUAUCAGCUUUAGCUGAUAAUGGCUUGGAUAUGGGGGUUUAUUUUGCUGGCUUCUUCACAGAUUGUCAGCUCCCCUUAAAUGCAUUAGCCGGUGCCCCGCGUGGACUGUCUAUUGGUGUGAUAAUUAUCUACGCCGUGGACAUCUACAAUCAUAUGGGUUUGCACUGCUUCCAACCGUCUGUUUAUUCAGACAAUACAUGACAAUUUGACCUCAAAUCAGGUAGGACUACCCGCUGAACUUAAGCAUAUCAAUAAGCGGAGGA
rnacentral:misc_RNA from 1 species